AUUGAACGCUGGCGGCAGGCCUAACACAUGCAAGUCGAACGAGUGGCGGACGGGUGAGUAAUGUCUGGGAAACUGCCUGAUGGAGGGGGAUAACUACUGGAAACGGUAGCUAAUACCGCAUACCAUCGGAUGUGCCCCGAUGGGAUUAGCUAGUAGGUGGGGGAAAGACUGACCUAGGCGACGAUCCCUAGCUGGUCUGAGAGGAUGACCAGCCAAGCUGGAACUAAGACACGGUCCAGACUCCGACGGGAGGCAGCAGUGGGGAAUAUUGCACAAUGGGCGCAAGCCUGAUGGAGCCAUGCCGCGUGUAUGAAGAAGGCCCUAGGGUUGUAAAGUACUUUCAGUCGGGAGGCGUUACCGACAGAAGAAGCACCGGCUAACUCCGUGCCAGCAGCCGCGGUAAUAC
rnacentral:rRNA from 1 species